AUUGAACGCUGGCGGCAUGCCUUACACAUGCAAGUCGAACGGUAACGCGGGGCAACCUGGCGACGAGUGGCGAACGGGUGAGUAAUAUAUCGGAACGUGCCCAAUAGUGGGGGAUAGCCCGGCGAAAGCCGGAUUAAUACCGCAUACGACCUGAGGGUGAAAGCGGGGGAUCGCAAGACCUCGCGCUAUUGGAGCGGCCGAUAUCAGAUUAGGUAGUUGGUGGGGUAAAGGCCUACCAAGCCUACGAUCUGUAGCUGGUCUGAGAGGACGACCAGCCACACUGGGACUGAGACACGGCCCAGACUCCUACGGGAGGCAGCAGUGGGGAAUUUUGGACAAUGGGCGCAAGCCUGAUCCAGCCAUGCCGCGUGCGGGAAGAAGGCCU
rnacentral:rRNA from 1 species